rnacentral:pre_miRNA from 1 species
AGGACGUGAUUCGGUGUAAACGUUGUGAUCCUACCACAUUGCACCAAUCCCGGCCUGC